GAGGCUGAGGCAGGACAAUCACUUAAACCCAGGAGGUGGAGUUUGCAGUGAGCUGAGAUGGCGCCAAUGCACUCCAGCCUGGGCAGCAGAGCGAGACUCCGUCUCAAAAUAAAUAAAUAAAUAAAUAAAUAAAUAAAUAAAUAAAUAAAUAAAUAUUAGGCUAACAGAAACUAAAGGUGACUGCAAUUCUGACCUCUAGUGCUAUAAAUAAAUUUUGCCUGUUUCUUUCUUUAACAGCUUUAUCGAGAUAGAAUUCACAGACCAUACAUUUCACCCAUUUAAAGUGUAUAAUUCCGUGGCUUUCAGAAUAUUUACAAAGUUGUGGAUUUUAGAAUACUUUCAUCACAUUUCCCUGCAAAAAACCCACAGAAGUCACUCCUCAUUUCUCCCAACUCCCCACCACCAGCUGUAGGCACCAAUAAUCUACUUUCUGUCUCUUUAGAUUUGUCUGUUCUGGGCCGGGCAUGGUGGCUCACACCUGUAAUCCCAGCAGUUUGGGAGGCCAAGGCGGGCGGAUCACUUGAGGUCAGGAGUUUGAGUUCAGCCUGGCCAACAUGGUGAAACCCUGUUAUCUACUAAAAAUACAAAAAUUAGCUGGGUAUGGUGGUGUGCGCCUGUAAUCCCAGCUACUCAGAAGGCUGAGGCACAAGAAUCGCUUGAACCUGGGAGGCAGAGGUUGCAGUGAGCUGAGAUUGAGCCACUGCACUCUAGCCUGGGUGACAGCAAGACUCCAUCUCAAAGAAAAAAAAAAGAUUGCCUCUUCUGGACAUUUCAUAGAAGGGGAAUUAUACAACAUGUGGUCUUCAUGUUGGCUUUCCUUUAACAAAAUGUUUUUAAGGGUCAUCUGUGUUCUAGCCUGGCGUAGUACUUCAUUCCAUUUUAUGGCCAAAUAAUAUUCCAUUGUAUGGAUAUAUCACAUUUUGUUCGUCUGUUCAUCAAUUGAUGGACAUUAAAGAGUGUUGUUUCCAUUUUUUGGCUAUUAGGAAGAAUGCUGCCAUGAAUGUCCAAUUACAUGUUUUGUCUCUUUUAGAAUUUCACAAAAACGAAACCAAGUGGCAUCUACUCUUUUUUUUUGGUCUAAUUUCUUUCAUUUUGAUAUUAUACCUGUGAGAGUUACCCAUUUUGGUGCAUUUAGCAUUGGCUUGUGCCUCUUUCUUUCUUUUCUUUCUUUCUUUCUUUCUUUCUUUCUUU
rnacentral:lncRNA from 1 species